AGAGUUUGAUCAUGGCUCAGAUUGAACGCUGGCGGCGUGCCUAACACAUGCAAGUCGAGCGGUAACAGGUGUAGCAAUACAUGCUGACGAGCGGCGAACGGGUGAGUAAUGCUUUGGAAUCUUCCCAGUAGUGGGGAAUAACCAGUCGAAAGAUUGGCUAAUACCGCAUACGUCUGUAAAGGGAAAGCGGGGGCUCGUAAGACCUCGCGCUAUUGGAUGAGCCAAAGUCGGAUUAGCUAGUUGGUGGGGUAAUGGCCUACCAAGGCGACAAUCCGUAGCUGGUCUGAGAGGACGACCAGCCACACCGGAACUGAGACACGGUCCGGACUCCUACGGGAGGCAGCAGUGGGGAAUAUUGGACAAUGGGGGAAACCCUGAUCCAGCGACGCCGCGUGUGUGAAGAAGGCCUGCGGGUUGUAAAGCACUUUUAGUGGGGACAAAAAGCUACGGACUAAUAUUCUGUGGUCUUGAUUUAACCCAAAGAAAAAGCACCGGCUAACUCUGUGCCAGCAGCCGCGGUAAUACAGAGGGUGCGAGCGUUAAUCGGAAUUACUGGGCGUAAAGCGCGCGUAGACGGUUUUGUAAGUCAGAUGUGAAAUCCCCGGGCUCAACCUGGGAACUGCAUUUGAUACUGCAUGGCUAGAGUAUCGAAGAGGGAAGUGGAAUUUCCGGUGUAGCGGUGAAAUGCGUAGAUAUCGGAAGGAACACCAGUGGCGAAAGCGACUUCCUGGUCGAAUACUGACGUUCAUGUGCGAAAGCGUGGGGAGCAAACAGGAUUAGAUACCCUAGUAGUCC
rnacentral:rRNA from 1 species